GCCCCUGGACCCUGGAAGUAGCCGCUUCCCCGGCCAUCCUGGUCUUCUUCCAAGCCCAAGAAGUGCCUCCCACUCCCAGGAAGGCCUUGCUGGAGGUUGGAGGCUGACAGGCAAAAAAUUCCUCUGCAAAAUGUUGCCUCAGCCUCUGGAAUUUACACUUGCCCCACUGCUGUCUGCUGAACAUUCCUGCCUGAAAUUCCAGCCGAACCAUGAAACAACUGCUCUGUAAAGGCCCCGGGACUGGCAGGGGCUGGCAGGCCUCUCCUGACUUCCAAAUUGCUGUCAGAGCCUGUGACCUCACUUCCUUAGCCUGCUCAAGGACACUUGCUGGGCACUGGAAGAUAAAUAGCCAAGUGAUACAAAGAAGAAUGUCCUCCGCUUGUGGGAAGCUAGACGCUGAUUAAGUGUUGGGCUUACAAUGGCGAGGAAGAACAUACAGUCUACAUUCAUAGGCCCUACUGUCUAGUUGAGGAGACAGACUCAAUCAGGUCAUCACACAGAUGGAUAAAAUUGUAACUAUGCUAAGCAUUCCUAAGGAGAAAGAGACAUGGAACAAUAAAAGAACGUC